rnacentral:misc_RNA from 1 species
AUGUACAAGUCUUCUAUACUAGGUUACUCAUGCCAUGGAUUUAAAAUUUCAUGUUUCCAGCCCUAUAAGAAUUAGUUUCAUCUACACAGAAUCUCUAAAUGGAUUCAAGUUGAAAUUAUAAAACAAAUAAAAAAAACUCAGCAACACUCAAAAUGAGAGCAAGGCAGAGGAAUGCUUUAUCUAAUUUUGAUUGUACAGCUGAUUCUCUGCUAACAGGCUUCUCUAAUUUUCCAGUUUGUCCGGACAUACAGCCAUGUAGAAUAAUUGACAGAAAACUAAUAUUUUAAGAUAAGAAAGAAGAAGACCACAUUUGUUAUUG